rnacentral:lncRNA from 1 species
GGUGGGGGCCGCUGGGCCAGGAGGGCGGAGGCCGUGAACUCCAGGUCGGUGGAUUGCGAGCCUGGAGUGGAUUGCCUGGCCUGGAGGCGACAGGGACCCGCGGCCUCCUUCUCUCCUCCUCUUCCUAGCGUCACCGCCUCUGUUUCUCUCUGGGGGAGAGUGUCUGGGAGAGGGAGAGCCCUGGCCGGGGCAUGGAGGAGCGGGGAGCAGCACCACUAGUCUCAAAAUCCGUUUCUCACCUUGGGUCAGGCCCUGACCCUCUCAGUGUCCCUGGUUUUAAAAUGAGGCUGUGGGACUGAUGGAUUCUCGGAACCCUAAACUCUGAGUGGAUGCUUCUAGGGUAUCUGAGUUGCGGGGAGCAGGGCCCCCAUCCUCAGUACAGCCCUUUCAGCGCCAGUUCCCUGACCUCUUUUCACAUCAGCCUCCCACUCCGGGGCCACACUGGGAACCUUAUCAACAGCAUCUGCACCUCCUUUGAUGUCCCCAGCCACAAUCUCUUCCACUUCCAGCCACUUGAGUCACUUCCGCUGUAUCUGUUUUUCACCAUCUUUGGGUUUCCUGUCCAUUGCUGUCUCCGCUUUCCCCCUCGAUAUCAAUCUGCUUCUUCCCUAUCCUGGCCCAUUACCUCGGCAUUCUCAAAAGGAUCCUCCCUGCCCGAGUCCUACUCUCCUUCCAUCUGAUGAAACCUGAAGCCAAACCAGUCCACCUACACACGGGUAUUGAAGAAGUCUUGGCCAGCCACACACCUUGGUGUAACAGAAACACGAGGUGAAUUGCUCCUCCAUGGGUCGUGAAAGAAGAUCAUGUCAGUGGUGGUGUUUCUGCUCGUCUCAGAAGGGAAGUCUGUGACCCGUGGGAGUUGCUGGGGAGGGCCUGGUCUGGGCCAGGCCUCUUCUUUGGGUUGCCCCCUCACACACUCUGGUCAUCCAGGAAGCCUCUGUGGCCCUCGGAAUGUGUAAAAGAUGGUGGUUUUAGGAGCUGCUGGUUUUGCAACUGAGUGCUGACGGCUUAUUUCUUGUUAAUGAUUCUGUCAAAAGUGUCUUAGCGAUGCUCUUCAGCCCUUCAUCACCCACCCAAAAAAGAUUAAAGUGGAUUCUUCAUCAGCUAUUUUAAAAUCACCUAAGAAUUAUACAAUCCUUUGGAGAAUCAA